UACGGGGGGGGCAAGCGUUGUUCGGAAUUACUGGGCGUAAAGGGCUCGUAGGUGGCCAACUAAGUCAGACGUGAAAUCCCUCGGCUUAACCGGGGAACUGCGUCUGAUACUGGAUGGCUGGAGUAUGGGAGAGGGAUGCGGAAUUCCAGGUGUAGCGGUGGAAUGCGUAGAGAUCGGGAAGAAUACCUGUGGCGAAGGCGGCCAGCUGGGCCAGAUCCGACACUGAGGCGCGAAAGCGUGGGGAGCAAACAGG
rnacentral:rRNA from 1 species